CCUACGGGAGGCAGCAGUGGGGAAUAUUGCACAAUGGGGGAAACCCUGAUGCAGCGACGCCGCGUGAGUGAAGAAGUAUUUCGGUAUGUAAAGCUCCAUCAGCAGGGAAGAAAAUGACGGUACCUGAUUAAGAAGCCACGGGUAACUACGUGCCAGCAGCCGCGGUCAUACGUAGGGGGCAAGCGUUAUCCGGAUUUACUGGGUGUAAAGGGAGCGUAGACGGCAGCGCAAGUCUGAAGUGAAAUGCCGGGGCUUAACCCCGGAACUGCUUUGGAAACUGUGCAGCUAGAGUGCAGGAGAGGUAAGUGGAAUUCGUAGUGUAGCGGUGAAAUGCGUAGAUAUUAGGAGGAACACCAGUGGCGAAGGCAGCUUACUGGACUGUAACUGACGUUGAGGCUCGAAAGCGUGGGGAGCAAACAGGAUUAGAUACCCCUGUAGUC
rnacentral:rRNA from 1 species